GACGAACGCUGGCGGCGUGCUUAACACAUGCAAGUCGAACGGAAAGGCCCUGCUUUUGUGGGGUGCUCGAGUGGCGAACGGGUGAGUAACACGUGAGUAACCUGCCCUUGACUUUGGGAUAACUUCAGGAAACUGGGGCUAAUACCUGAUAGGAGCUCCUGCUGCAUGGUGGGGGUUGGAAAGUUUCGGCGGUUGGGGAUGGACUCGCGGCUUAUCAGCUUGUUGGUGGGGUAGUGGCUUACCAAGGCUUUGACGGGUAGCCGGCAUGAGAGGGUGACCGGCCACAUUGGGACUGAGAUACGGCACAGACUCCUACGGGAGGCAGCAGUGGGGAAUAGUGCACAAUGGGAGGAAGCCUGAUGCAGCAACGCAGCGUGCGGGAUGACGGCCUUCGGGUUGUAAACCGAUUUCGCCUGUGACGAAGCGUGAGUGACGGUAAUGGGUAAAGAAGCACCGGCUAACUACGUG
rnacentral:rRNA from 1 species